rnacentral:rRNA from 1 species
AUGCUGCCGACUGGCGUCAAGUUCGAUCCCACAGAUCAGGAGCUGAUCGAGCACCUUGAGGCCAAAGUGAGUGUUGAUAGCGCAAGAUUUCAGUCUCUCAUCGAUUUGUUCAUACCAACCAUCGACGGCGAGCACGACAUAAGCUACACCCAACCUGAGAAACUUCCAGGUAUCACACUGAGUGGCCUAAGGAAGCAUUUCUUCCAGCGCAAUUCUAGGGCAUUCAAAAGGGGCACACGGGCAGCAAAAAAGGUUCUGUUGCUGCACACCAACAAGAACUUCGACCAGCAGAGGAACAACUGGGUGAUGCACCAGUACCACCUCGGGGACCUGGAGAAAGAGAAGGAGAGGGAGCUGUUGUACUACCCUGUCAUCCGCAAGUUGGUAUUGUUGUUAAUGAUCUUUUGGUCGAGCAUGUUUCAACUGGGAUGUAGACUGCCCAGGGUUGGUUUUGUUUUUAACAGGCCCAGCCCAUGA